UUUUAAGAGUUUAAUUAAUAGCCUGUUUUUGAGAUUAGAUCUGUUAAUUGUCCUCUUGUUUUUGUGUGGAUACUAGGAUUUUGUAUCUAGUUUAUUCAGAUAUCUAAGUAUUGGAGUACUGCAUUUUCAGUAGCUGAUAAGGAGGAUCAGGAAAAAUGAAGCACAAAGAUGGAAAAACUCAUCAAUCGGAUAAAAGUUCAUGGAAAGUCACAGUUCCAUUAACAGUUGUGGUGCUGUGUGGGCUUUUUUUCUACCUUGGAGGUAUUUUUUGCUCUGAAAGGGAGAGAUAUGUAGCUGAGCCUGUUAACAAGGCUGUUGACACUCCCACGGGAACUGCUACUGUACCUGUCCAGAUCAAAGCUGUUUCUUUUCCUGAAUGUAGUGCUGAGUAUCAGGACUAUACUCCAUGCACAGAUCCAAAGAGAUGGCACAAGUAUGGUCGCCAUCGUCUUGCUUUCUUGGAACGGCAUUGCCCUCCUAGUUUUGAAAGACAGGAAUGCUUGGUACCCCCACCAGAUGGCUAUAAAUCGCCUAUUAGAUGGCCAAAGAGCAAAAAUGAGUGUUGGUACAGGAAUGUUCCAUAUGAUUGGAUUAAC
rnacentral:misc_RNA from 1 species